rnacentral:rRNA from 1 species
GAUGAACGCUAGCGCUAGGCUUAACACAUGCAAGUCGAGGGGCAGCACAAGGUAGCUUGCUCUCUGGGUGGCGACCGGCGCACGGGUGCGUAACGCGUAUGCAACUUGCCCUAUACAGGAGGAUAACCCGUCGAAAGACGGACUAAUACUGCGUAUGCUCACAACUUGGCAUCAAGUGGUGAGGAAAGAAAUUCGGUAUAGGAUAGGCAUGCGUCCCAUUAGCUUGUUGGUGAGGUAACGGCUCACCAAGGCAACGAUGGGUAGGGGAACUGAGAGGUUUAUCCCCCACACUGGUACUGGGACACGGACCAGACUCCUACGGGAGGCAGCAGUGAGGAAUAUUGGUCAAUGGGCGCGAGCCUGAACCAGCCAAGUCGCGUGAAGGAUGACUGUCUUAUGGAUUGUAAACUUCUUUUAUACGGGAAUAACAAGAGUCACGUGUGACUCCCUGCAUGUACCGUAUGAAUAAGCAUCGGCUAACUCCGUG